rnacentral:rRNA from 1 species
AGCGAACGCUGGCGGCAGGCUUAACACAUGCAAGUCGAGCGGGCAUCCUUGUGGUGUCAGCGGCAGACGGGUGAGUAACGCGUGGGGACGUGCCCUUCGGUUCGGAAUAACUCAGGGAAACUUGAGCUAAUACCGGAUACGUGCGAGAGCAGAAAGGUUUAUCUGCCGAAGGAUCGGCCCGCGUCUGAUUAGCUAGUUGGUGAGGUUAUGGCUCACCAAGGCGACGAUCAGUAGCUGGUCUGAGAGGAUGAUCAGCCACACUGGGACUGAGACACGGCCCAGACUCCUACGGGAGGCAGCAGUGGGGAAUAUUGGACAAUGGGGGCAACCCUGAUCCAGCCAUGCCGCGUGAGUGAUGACGGCCUUAGGGUUGUAAAGCUCUUUUCUCCGGGACGAUAAUGACGGUACCGGAGGAAUAAGCCCCGGCUAACUUCGU